rnacentral:tRNA from 1 species
GGGAUUUUAGUUUAACGAAAACACUAAUAUUGCUAAUUAAUAAUAUAAGCUCAAAACUUAUAAUUUCCA